rnacentral:rRNA from 1 species
UACAGAGGUGGCAAGCGUUGUUCGGAAUUACUGGGCGUAAAGGGCGCGUAGGCGGCCUUCUAAGUCAGACGUGAAAUCCCCCGGCUUAACCUGGGAACUGCGUCUGAUACUGGGAGGCCUGAGUAUGGGAGAGGGAUGUAGAAUUCCAGGUGUAGCGGUGAAAUGCGUAGAUAUCUGGAGGAAUACCGGUGGCGAAGGCGGCAUCCUGGACCAUUACUGACGCUGAGGCGCGAAAGCUAGGGGAGCAAACGGG